rnacentral:snRNA from 1 species
CGGAAACAAAUUUAGAUUUUAGA